rnacentral:tRNA from 1 species
GGCCGACUAGCUCAGCUGGUUAGAGCGUCGUGCUAAUAACGCGAAGGUCUUGGGUUCGAUCCCCAAGUUGGCCA